UGUAAAUAUUGAAUAUUCCUCAGCCUAUGUAUUAAUCAGGCAUUUUUCAUUUGACAAUUAAGGGGAGAUAACUCACAUUUUAUGAUGACAAAGAAUGGGAGAUAACUCAUGUUGUCUGUAGGCAAAGAUGGGGAGAUAACCCAUGAUGUCGUAGGCUGAGAUGGGGAUAACUCUACUUGUCUGUAGGCAAAGAUGGGGAGUUAACUCUACUUGACUUGACUGCAAAGACAGAGUUAAUUUUUUUGUUUUGUCAGAAUAAAGGUUUCUCUUUAAAAGAGAUGAGUUUUAAAAUUUGUCAACAGAAAACCAGUGAUAUACAUGUAUAUGUUGUUUUUGUGCUGUGUGCAAAAUUUGUUACGAUUAUGUUUUUAAAAUCCAAUUGUGCCAUGCUAAUUUAGACACAAGUUUCUGAUUGCAAGUUAUGCCCAGUAUGUAUUACAAGAUGCAUGACAAAUUUUAUUUCUGAAUUUGUUUAACAAUUUUCAUGCAUAGAAUAUGGAAUUAUUUUUAUGUGUUUUGAAAUUGGAAUUAUCAAAAUCAUUUAAAAUAGUGAAAGGUUUGAACAGAAUAUAUAUCAGUCAAAUCCAAUCAAGUAUUUUUCUUAUUUAAUCUUUGCUCCCCUAUUGAUGUGGGAAAUUUGGUGUUUCUAAAACGAUUUUUUUUUUUAAUGAUUCAUAUGGAUUGAAAUUUUAAUUAAAUUUGAUUUCUAAUAAUGUGCAUAAAUUAUCAUUCUUGGGAUGUCAUUAUUUGGGGAUUUCGUAAGUUAAGGUGAACCACAAAUUUACAGGUUCAAGGAAGUACAAAUUUUCAAAAGGCUUGUGAGCAAAAUUUUGCAAAUCCACAAAUCAAAUUCCAUAAAAUAAAAAUUGUUGCUCAAAGCCAUGAAAACUCGAAACUCAAGAAAAUAAAUAAAUCUAAAACUGUUCUCAAAUUAUGUGUCCUCCUCUUUUUUUCCUGUACAAAUAGCUCAACAGUGUACUUAUUAAUCAAAGUAUUAUUUCGUGAUGUGAUAUUGUGUAUUAUAGAUGGGCAGUAUAGAGUUAUGUUUAUAGAGAAGUGAUAUUGUAUAUUAUAGACGGGCAGUAUAGAGAUAUGUUUUUGUUAUGGCUAGUUUACUGUGAUCAUUGUGUAGACAGAUUGUUUAUGACUUUACAGUUUGUGUAAUGGUCUAGAAAUGAUAGAGUUUUUGUCCUGAACAUGCAUGUAAUAUUUGCAACUGGACGUUAAGCAACCUACAUAUUGUGAUAUAUCAGGAAGGAACCGCCACAUUCCAUUGUGUGUUAUGAAGAAAUAUGUUUUCACUGUUCUCCUAUUUGAUGUUGAUAUCCUAGUAAAGGGCCCUUUUCUUUCAUAAUCAGACAAUAAAAGGGCAAGAACCUCAGCGAAAUUCACUUUAAAUCAUUUAUAAUGUGUAUUUCCUCAAAGAAAAUGCUUUUGUUUACUGAUAGAAGUUGAACAGUUUAAAGCCAUUAUCAGGGCCAAUUUCAAGAGUUCUAAAUUUUUCAGAUUUUUACCUGAAAUAUUUGAUUUAUUUAGAUCUAAUUUGCUGACGACUGGUUGCUGGAAUUAUUGAAUCAAAAUGAUCUGAGCAGCUUAUAGAUUUUAAAUAUCAAGAGAUCUGAUUGGUCAAUAACUUUGAAUUUUUGAAAUCUGAUUGGCUUAGAAAUUGUAAUGCUUGCUGACCUAUUGAUGAAUGAAUCUCCAGUUUGAAUAGUUAUGUACUAAUUAGUAAAUGAAAUGUCCAGAAAAUUGAGAAUGGAAAUGGGGAGUAUGUCUAAAAGACAAUUUUGAAUAAGAAAUCCUAGAAAAAUUUAACUUAUUGUAGAGUAAAUGUUGAAAUUUUUAAUAAAAGUCUUAGACCUUACACACUGUAUAAUAAUUGAAAUAUUAGAGCUUAUUAUAAUUGUAGAUUGUGUCAUGUUUUUUUUUUUUUUAUCACAGAUCAUUCCAGAUAUAGGCAUUAUUUAUGUUUAAUCAAACAUUAUUCAUGUGUAUAGUACAACAAACAUAGUAACUCAUUAUUCAUUUUUAAGAGAAUUUUGAAAAACAGGGUGAAUUAAUGUAUAAUAAAGCGAGAAUUAGUUAAAAUGAAAUAAAUGAGAAUGAUUUUGAUGCAUUAAAACCUUUCUGGCUGUGGUGCAUGUUCCAAGACCACUCUUUAUUGGGGUUGGUGUUUUUAAAGUAUUUCACUAUAUAGUUUAGUACCACAUUAGGUUUAAAAUUGAAUUACUUUCAAUUGGCAUUAUGAAAAGCAUUAUAAAAAUGGAUGCCAAAAACGAGGAAGAAAUUUCAUGAUUAGUGAUUGAAUUAGUAUGUUUUCUUCAUUUUGAAAAUGUGCUUUUGUGUUGGCAUUUUGCUUUGAAAGAUCCGAAUUAAUAAGUAUUUAUAAUGGGUAUCUUCAGAACUUCUUGUAAAUGAAAAAUAAUGUAAACCAUCUAUUAUUGGAAAAGUCCAUUUAAACUAGAACUUUCAUACCUGGCUGCCUUUUUAUAUUGACUUUGAAACAUUUCUGUAUAAAGACUUUUUUUGGUGGUGUUCUAGGGUAAAUAUUGCUCUUUCCCAUUUGAGAGGUUAUUUUAUUUAAUAAUAUGAUCCUACAGCCACUUAUCAAACCACAUUAGACAGAUUUAAUACAAGCUACAUAUAUGGUUAAUGCAUACACUUUUUACAUUUACAUGCACUACUCCUGAGGUUUCUUAGGUUUGGUACCUACCCCCCUUUCAAAAAUCAUAAAACUGCAUCUGACCACAAUCACUUGUAUUAUGCUAAUGGUUAAUAUUAUUAUAUUUUAGUUAAUAUGCUAAUAAGACAGGAAAUUAUAUCGACAGUUGUGUAUUGUUAUCGUUGUUGUUUUUAGACAACUUUGUUUAUUAAAUGUCAC
rnacentral:lncRNA from 1 species